rnacentral:tRNA from 3 species
GGUCGCUUAGCUCAGCUGGGAGAGCACCUGCCUUACAAGCAGGGGGUCAUAGGUUCAAGCCCUAUAGCGACCA